UACGUAGGUGGCAAGCGUUGUCCGGAUUUAUUGGGUUUAAAGGGUGCGUAGGCGGUUCAAUAAGUCAGUGGUGAAAUACGGCAGCUCAACUGUCGAGGUGCCAUUGAUACUGUUGGACUUGAGUACAGACGAGGUAGGCGGAAUUGACGGUGUAGCGGUGAAAUGCGUAGAUAUUGGGAGGAACACCAGUGGCGAAGGCGGCUCACUGGACUGGUACUGACGCUGAGGCGCGAAAGCGUGGGGAGCAAACAGG
rnacentral:rRNA from 1 species